ensembl:snRNA U4 U4 spliceosomal RNA
AGCUUUGUGCAGUGGCAGUAUCGUAGCCAAUGAGAUUUAUCCAAGGUGUGAUUAUUGCUAAUUGAAAACUUUUUCCCAAUACCCCGCUGUGACAUCUUGCAAUAUAGUCAGCACUGGCAAUUUUUGACAGUCUCUAUAGAAA